UUAAGCGACUAAGCGUACACGGUGGAUGCCCUGGCAGUCAGAGGCGAUGAAGGACGUGCUAAUCUGCGAAAAGCGUCGGUAAGGUGAUAUGAACCGUUAUAACCGGCGAUGUCCGAAUGGGGAAACCCAGUGCAAUUCGUUGCACUAUCGUUAACUGAAUACAUAGGUUAACGAGGCGAACCGGGGGAACUGAAACAUCUAAGUACCCCGAGGAAAAGAAAUCAACCGAGAUUCCCCCAGUAGCGGCGAGCGAACGGGGAGCAGCCCAGAGUCUGAAUCAGCUUGUGUGUUAGUGGAACGGUCUGGAAAGUCCGACGGUACAGGGUGAUAGUCCCGUACACCAAAAUGCACAGGCUGUGAACUCGAAGAGUAGGGCGGGACACGUGGUAUCCUGUCUGAAUAUGGGGGGACCAUCCUCCAAGGCUAAAUACUCCUGACUGACCGAUAGUGAACCAGUACCGUGAGGGAAAGGCGAAAAGAACCCCGGCGAGGGGAGUGAAAAAGAACCUGAAACCGUGUACGUACAAGCAGUGGGAGCACCUUCGGGUGUGACUGCGUACCUUUUGUAUAAUGGGUCAGCGACUUAUAUUCUGUAGCAAGGUUAACCGUAUAGGGGAGCCGCAGGGAAACCGAGUCUUAACUGGGCGUUAAGUUGCAGGGUAUAGACCCGAAACCCGGUGAUCUAGCCAUGGGCAGGUUGAAGGUUGGGUAACACUAACUGGAGGACCGAAACGAGUAAUGUUGAAAAAUUAGCGGAUGACUUGUGGCUGGGGGUGAAAGGCCAAUCAAACCGGGAGAUAGCUGGUUCUCCCCGAAAGCUAUUUAGGUAGCGCCUCGUGAACUCAUCUUCGGGGGUAGAGCACUGUUUCGGCUAGGGGGUCAUCCCGACUUACCAACCCGAUGCAAACUACGAAUACCGAAGAAUGUUAUCACGGGAGACACACGGCGGGUGCUAACGUCCGUCGUGAAGAGGGAAACAACCCAGACCGCCAGCUAAGGUCCCAAAGUCAUGGUUAAGUGGGAAACGAUGUGGGAAGGCACAGACAGCCAGGAUGUUGGCUUAGAAGCAGCCAUCAUUUAAAGAAAGCGUAAUAGCUCACUGGUCGAGUCGGCCUGCGCGGAAGAUGUAACGGGGCUAAACCAUGCACCGAAGCUGCGGCAGCGACACUAUGUGUUGUUGGGUAGGGGAGCGUUCUGUAAGCCUGCGAAGGUGUGCUGUGAGGCAUGCUGGAGGUAUCAGAAGUGCGAAUGCUGACAUAAGUAACGAUAAAGCGGGUGAAAAGCCCGCUCGCCGGAAGACCAAGGGUUCCUGUCCAACGUUAAUCGGGGCAGGGUGAGUCGACCCCUAAGGCGAGGCCGAAAGGCGUAGUCGAUGGGAAACAGGUUAAUAUUCCUGUACUUGGUGUUACUGCGAAGGGGGGACGGAGAAGGCUAUGUUAGCCGGGCGACGGUUGUCCCGGUUUAAGCAUGUAGGCUGGUUAUCCAGGCAAAUCCGGAUAAUCAAGGCUGAGGUGUGAUGACGAGGCACUACGGUGCUGAAGUAACAAAUGCCCUGCUUCCAGGAAAAGCCUCUAAGCAUCAGGUAACAUCAAAUCGUACCCCAAACCGACACAGGUGGUCAGGUAGAGAAUACCAAGGCGCUUGAGAGAACUCGGGUGAAGGAACUAGGCAAAAUGGUGCCGUAACUUCGGGAGAAGGCACGCUGGUGUGUAGGUGAAGUCCCUGCGGAUGGAGCUGAGACCAGUCGAAGAUACCAGCUGGCUGCAACUGUUUAUUAAAAACACAGCACUGUGCAAACACGAAAGUGGACGUAUACGGUGUGACGCCUGCCCGGUGCCGGAAGGUUAAUUGAUGGGGUUAUCCGUAAGGAGAAGCUCUUGAUCGAAGCCCCGGUAAACGGCGGCCGUAACUAUAACGGUCCUAAGGUAGCGAAAUUCCUUGUCGGGUAAGUUCCGACCUGCACGAAUGGCGUAAUGAUGGCCAGGCUGUCUCCACCCGAGACUCAGUGAAAUUGAACUCGCUGUGAAGAUGCAGUGUACCCGCGGCAAGACGGAAAGACCCCGUGAACCUUUACUAUAGCUUGACACUGAACAUUGAGCCUUGAUGUGUAGGAUAGGUGGGAGGCUUUGAAGCGUGGACGCCAGUCUGCGUGGAGCCAACCUUGAAAUACCACCCUUUAAUGUUUGAUGUUCUAACGUUGGCCCCUGACCGGGGUUGCGGACAGUGUCUGGUGGGUAGUUUGACUGGGGCGGUCUCCUCCCAAAGCGUAACGGAGGAGCACGAAGGUUAGCUAAUCCUGGUCGGACAUCAGGAGGUUAGUGCAAUGGCAUAAGCUAGCUUGACUGCGAGCGUGACGGCGCGAGCAGGUGCGAAAGCAGGUCAUAGUGAUCCGGUGGUUCUGAAUGGAAGGGCCAUCGCUCAACGGAUAAAAGGUACUCCGGGGAUAACAGGCUGAUACCGCCCAAGAGUUCAUAUCGACGGCGGUGUUUGGCACCUCGAUGUCGGCUCAUCACAUCCUGGGGCUGAAGUAGGUCCCAAGGGUAUGGCUGUUCGCCAUUUAAAGUGGUACGCGAGCUGGGUUUAGAACGUCGUGAGACAGUUCGGUCCCUAUCUGCCGUGGGCGCUGGAGAAUUGAGGGGGGCUGCUCCUAGUACGAGAGGACCGGAGUGGACGCAUCACUGGUGUUCGGGUUGUCAUGCCAAUGGCACUGCCCGGUAGCUAAAUGCGGAAGAGAUAAGUGCUGAAAGCAUCUAAGCACGAAACUUGCCCCGAGAUGAGUUCUCCCUGAGACUUUAAGUCUCCUGAAGGAACGUUAAAGACGAUGACGUUGAUAGGCCGGGUGUGUAAGCGCAGCGAUGCGUUGAGCUAACCGGUACUAAUGAACCGUGAGGCUUAACCUU
rnacentral:rRNA from 1 species